UACGUAGGGGGCUAGCGUUGUCCGGAAUCAUUGGGCGUAAAGGGCUCGUAGGCGGCCAACUAAGUCAGACGUGAAAUCCCUCGGCUUAAUCGGGGAACUGCAUCUGAUACUGGAUGGCUUGAGAUUGGGAGAGGGAUGCGGAAUUCCAGGUGUAGCGGUGAAAUGCGUAGAUAUCUGGAGGAACACCGGUGGCGAAGGCGGCAUCCUGGACCAACACUGACGCUGAGGAGCGAAAGCCAGGGGAGCAAACGGG
rnacentral:rRNA from 1 species